rnacentral:rRNA from 1 species
UAAUACAUGCAAGUCGAGCGAAUGGAUUAAGAGCUUGCUCUUAUGAAGUUAGCGGCGGACGGGUGAGUAACACGUGGGUAACCUGCCCAUAAGACUGGGAUAACUCCGGGAAACCGGGGCUAAUACCGGAUAAUAUUUUGAACUGCAUAGUUCGAAAUUGAAAGGCGGCUUCGGCUGUCACUUAUGGAUGGACCCGCGUCGCAUUAGCUAGUUGGUGAGGUAACGGCUCACCAAGGCAACGAUGCGUAGCCGACCUGAGAGGGUGAUCGGCCACACUGGGACUGAGACACGGCCCAGACUCCUACGGGAGGCAGCAGUAGGGAAUCUUCCGCAAUGGACGAAAGUCUGACGGAGCAACGCCGCGUGAGUGAUGAAGGCUUUCGGGUCGUAAAACUCUGUUGUUAGGGAAGAACAAGUGCUAGUUGAAUAAGCUGGCACCUUGACGGUACCUAACCAGAAAGCCACGGCUAACUACGUGCCAGCAGCCGCGGUAAUACGUAGGUGGCAAGCGUUAUCCGGAAUUAUUGGGCGUAAAGCGCGCGCAGGUGGUUUCUUAAGUCUGAUGUGAAAGCCCACGGCUCAACCGUGGAGGGUCAUUGGAAACUGGGAGACUUGAGUGCAGAAGAGGAAAGUGGAAUUCNNUGUGUAGCGGUGAAAUGCGUAGAGAUAUGGAGGAACACCAGUGGCGAAGGCGACUUUCUGGUCUGUAACUGACACUGAGGCGCGAAAGCGUGGGGAGCAAACAGGAUUA